GUAUAAGCUGAUAAACAUGGCUCUUUUCUGAUGGGGGCCCUGUUUGGAUAACUUGGCCUCUUCUAAAUUCUUCUUUCCCUUGCGUUCCCCUCUCCUUUUUCUUUCCCCCCCCCCCCCCCCCCCUCUUGUCAAGCCCACUUCAUAAAUGGUAGCAGCUGGAGGUCUUUUUAGUGGUAUUCAGGGAUUACUGCCCUUCAGGAUUUUAAUAAGCCCCAAUGUCUGAAAUGCCUGUAAGGGUGCUCUCUGAGACAAUUACCAUUCAAAACUGGGGAUUGAAGACCCUUCAUAGCCCAGAUGGCCAAGGUUCUGCGCACGGACAGAUAGCGUUCCCUGAACAACAGAUCACUGGAGCAAAGAGAAGGUUUUGUUGUUAGUUGAGGUGGGGAGAGGGAGAAAAGGAAGGGUGUAAAGGGGUUCUAUCUCUUUACAGCUUAUCAAAGCUGAGUUUACUCAUUCCCCUAUAUAUAACUGGAUUUAAAGCUGUGACCUCUUAACGACAGCAGUUUUAGGUUACAUAGCCCCAUGGUUAAUUUACACAGGGGACUAUGUACUGUAAAGUAGCUGCAAUCUGUAAUUUAAAGGCACAGUACUCCUGACUGUAAGAAGGCCUGAAGAAAUAUUUGUUUGCUGUCCUCAAAUGCUGGAAAUAACCUUUGAAGGCCCAUAAUGAGGUGGCUAUUCUUAAUACUUUACUACUGACAGCUAAUGACAAAAUUUAUGGUAAUGCCUGAUUUCUGCUCAUGAGCACUGGGAAGUUAAAUUUGGGAAAAUACAGCUUAUUCACUUAGAGUAAACUUUUGGCCAGGAAGAACUGAUUCAGUCUACUUUUACCUAAGAUACUGCAUGGGUUUCAAAGGAUAACAUGGAGUUUCUGGGAGAGAAGUGGUGCACUACCUUUGAUUUAGGGAAUUUCUUAGGAGUAUUUUUUUUUUUAACUGAUGAAAAACAGGGAUUGAGGGGAAAGUUUGGAAGUUGUUUUUUUUAAGACCUCCUGAUUUACCCAAUGAAGGGCUACAGUGGUGACUGUUACAGCCAGAUCAGUUGGUCCUCUGCAGGAGAGGUGGUUUAUUAGCUGAACAACUGUUCUCCGUCUGGAUGGACAGAUAUUAAUUUUUUAAUCUGUGGACCACCAAUGGCAGAAAAACCCAUUUGUGCCUCUCUAGAUUUAAGGGUAAUUUUUGCAAUAUUGAGCUCGGAGACAUCGGUUACUGGUCUUUUUCCUUUUGGCUUUAUACUGUAUCUUUAUUCUUUUAAAUCAAAAUUUCAUUAAGAAAAUAAACAGCAUCAGUACAUGAUACAAGAGAAGAAUUGUCUUAAAUAAAAAGUAUACAGCUGAACCAAGCCUCGUGGAAGAAUAGUCUAGAUGGAUGAGAAUAAUUCUGCAUGUAUUGAUUCUGAGGCUUCCCUUUCACACUCCAAUAAGUUACGAUGAGCUAGUUCGUGGAACUGCUAAAACUAGCAAAUAAAAAAUUAAAACAGAAUUAUUUUAUCACUGUCAUAGAAAAAACAAAUACAAAUUGGUGGCAGAAUUUGGACGGACAGGUUAUUUAUGUACUAACAGCUAUACUGUGCUAGUGGUUGAUUUUAAAAAUGAUUAAAGAUACAGGCGGGUUACUAUGUUUUUUCCCAAAGUUAUUGAAGAUGUAGAGAAAUCUAAAUCAGGAGGAUAGGUCUUUGCCAGCUGUCAUUCUCUCAGGCCUUCAUCCCUCUCCUAAAGUAGCUAUGCUGAGGAUACCUUUGUGGUUUAAGAGAUCAUUUGUAACGGAGACAGUCAGUUCACCUGAAGAUAAUAUUUUAUUAGCCUCUCAAACUGAUGAGCGUGGCUGCUAGAAUAUGCACCCCUCUUGAAACCAAAUUAUUAUGUUUGUCUUGUGCAUUCCUGUCACCGGUUAUUUUACAUAAAAAUCCUGCCCCUUAGGCCUUAUUAGGAUAAUAAGAUGAUAAACAAAUAAAUAAAUAAAACACUCAUAAAUGAAGAAGGGCCUGACUUCAGUAAUGGACAUUGAUUGUUUACACUCUAAUGACCUUAGUAUGAAUUGCAAAGUGGCCAAGUGAAUGUAAAUUGUGCAACAGUUUCAAAUGAAGGUAGAUAUUGGGCCAAAUUCUGCUUGUUUUGCUUAUAUGAUUAUAGUAGGCUACUUGAAGUCAGUAGAUAAAUUAUAUAAAUAAAAUUGGCUGGAUUUGGCCCCUCACAUGUCAUUCUCUGUUCUCUCAGGUCCUAAAUUCAACUCAGAGGAGAUUAAAAUAUUCUAUUUUUAAAUAUUUUGAAGUUGUAUUAAGAUGAUGACUCCAUCAUUGCAACUGAUAGUCUUGUAAUAAAUAGCCUACAGAAAUAUGUAUGCAAUACUAAUAAUAUAAGCAAAGUUUGAAUGGGUCUGAUUUCAUAUGGACAGCUCCACUUUUUUUUUUCAGUAGGUUUGCUCUGAUGUAACCCUAGGUAGUGGUGUUUAACUAGAGCAAGAUGGAUUUAGAUCAGAUCUCAGGAAAAAUAAUCUUUAAGUCCAAGAGCUGUAGGAAAAGGAACAAGAUGCCUAGGAAACUGGUGGAAUCUUCUGCCUUUUAAGCAGAGGCUGCAGAGCCAUCUCUUUGGUUUAGGAAAAGCAUAUACUUUAUCUGUAGAGCAGUUAGACAAUAUGGCUCUCAAGAUCCCUUUCAACAUACGAGUCUUUGAAACUGGAGGAUGAUGAAUCAAGCCCAAUGUUUGUACAGUGUAUAUAGAAAUAUAUAAAAUACUAGUGUAAUCUUUGUGUAUCUGUUUGCACAUGUGAAGUUUGUACGUAUAAAUGUCACAGCACAUUCCUUGGUUGGGGGGGGGGAGGAGGAGGAAGCAGAUGAUACAAAGGGUAAUGAGUUUGAAUUAAAUUUGUUUUGUCUUUUUAGAUUCUUUUUUUGCCAAGCUUAUCACCAUAGUUUCUGAAUGCUUCUGACAGCUCUCAUCUCUACUCCAAAAGGGGAGUGAAACAAAGAUCAUUGUGCAUAUCACAGAAGAGAACUUGAACGUAGCAUAACAAUUAAUGUAUUUGUAGGGUUGGUCUGCCUGAAGUGGAAUCUGUGGUUUAAGUUAUGUUAAAUGCUUUUCAGGAUCUUUCUGUGUUUCUUAUCCAGGAUUUUCCCCCAGUUCUGUCCACUUAUGAGGGGGGGAUAGAAUUUCAAAUGCAUUGACAUAACAGGGAACCUAUCACUUGCUUUCUUUUGAUAAGAAUUCUCAGUCCCUAUCUGAGUCUAUAUAGCUUUCUUUGUUAACAACUGAAAUGUGAGAAACAUACUCUCUUAUUGGAUGUUAAAAACUGUUUUAAACCUGUUUAAAAACUGCUUAACUGCUUAGCUGUGUGAAGUUUUUGUUCUCUAACUGCUUCCACCCAAAAAAGAUAGAUCUGAUUUUAGUCUUUUCUAGUCUAUUUUUUAUUUCUCUCUGUGAACUGUAUAUGAGCUGUGAUUUCCCUGAUACUGUCUACUACUACUAGAAGUCUGAUAGAGUCAUAGAACAGCACUACAGUGCUUGCCUUCCUAAAUGUUGUCUUGAACUGUGAAGACUUCUGUAAACUGAUUAGACUCUCCCUUUGUUUUGGUUGUUUUUUAAGCUUCAGUCCUGACCUAAAUAUAUAGUUUCCUACUCUUUACUAAUAGUUUUUAGUAUUUUAUACAUAAUUAGAUCUAAAUAUUGUGGUAUAGGGAUGAGAGGAAAAAGUGAUGAUCCAAUUUGCUGUAAUUGGUACGCUAGCAAAACCUAGAUUAUCUGCCUGUGUUCUAUACACUCUUAAACAGUUGCAUAAUUUAGCCUUGAAAUAUUUGCAGUAGUUCUAAGAUCAGUUGGGGAAAAAUAAAACAAAAAUGGACAAAAAAGUGGUGGGGCAGCAUUACCAUUCUUGUAGGUUCCACUUACAAAACUGAACCAGCGAUUUUGAAUCUCUUCUAGUGGAAAUAAUGGCUUUGUAUUCAAAUGUAACUUAUUUUAUUAAGAUAUUACUUUAAUACUCUACUAAUUACAGCAUUACAUUCUAAGUGCUAAAAUAACAUUAGAAUGGUUUUAUUUUAGAGACUUUUACUUUAGAAUUUCUAAUUUGUUUUUACUUUCUACUCGAGACAAUCCUUAGUAGUUGCCUUAAACACAGUAUAGUGCUGCAGUUACCUACCUGGUUGUCUGUCCACCCCCCACUCAUAAUAGUAGUACUACGCAAUGCAGUGCAGUGUGCUGUAACUGCUUUGAGGCUUAUUCAAGUAUCUUUCAGUGAGAUAAGCUGACUUGUCAGCCUCUGCAUAUUGGAGUCCAUAAAGGUAAUGAUAAAUAUGUAAUGGGAUUUAACAGUUAAACAGCAUAUAUAUAUGCAAAGCCUUCAAACAGGGCAACUAUGAGGAUUAGGUCCUCUUUAGGUAAGUGUUGUUCCAUUUUACAGGUGGAAAACUAAGGCAGAAAAUUUUAAAUGGUAGGCAUAAGGCCAGGGAGUUCAACUGAGUGAGACUCCAUUAAAAUGUAAUUCCUGAUACCGCUUACAGACUCUUUGUACUGGAUGUGGUACCUUCUCUCUGCCUCAGUAAUUAAAUGACUUCUAAAUUUUUAUUUUAUUUAUUUGAAAUGUCCCAAUCAGUAAACAGAAGAAAAAGUGUUCAAAAGUAUCUGCAUGUCAUUUCCUCACAACUUUCUGUGACUCCCUGGCGCUUCUAGUUUUGUUGGAUUAUUAGUCUGUGAAGGAAGAGAUAAAGCAUUUCCUUGUAUUGAAUUUGAGCACGCUCUGUGCUUUGGGCUGAAUGAAAUAUUAAAAGCUGUUUGCGAUCUCACAGAUGAGUAGGGCAGGCAAAUUUUCGCACGCACAUGGAAGGGGGGGAAGAAAGAAAUGAGGUCGAGGCAUCCAUAGAUUCUAGAAUUUAAGUGAUUUGUUCAUGUCUGGUGGUAAUAUUUCCCUUCUAUGUGUAGGGAAGGAAGUGAUUAACACCAGUGGCGUGUGUUUCAAAUUACUAUUUUAAAUUCUUAUUUUAAACAUACUUGGGGUCACAUACAUAUGUUAAGCCUUCUACUGAUUGUGGCUCCCUAAGCCACUCAAGCUGCAAAAAAAUAUAGUAGACUGAAUAAUCCCAAAGAUAGAAGUAUAGGAACUAAUUUACAGAAAUAUGGGUACUGCCUAUUUGUAGUGCAUGUGUGCAGUCAUAUAAGGGAGGAUGGACAGGAGAAGAUUUUUACACCAUUGGCUAAUCUUUUUAAUAGUGUGUAAUAAUACAUAAAUAGUAAUUGUUCUGUAGAGAAUCUGUCCAUUGCACUCCUUCGAGGUUAAAAUUACCUUGAACAUUGGCUCGCUGCUGAGUCCCUUCAUCCCAUGGACAGCUGGUUUUACAAGUUUGGCCUUGCAUGUCAGUCUAUGUGGAACUGAAUGGAAAUCCAUCUGUAUUACUUAAUGAUAAACUUUGUCUUUAAGCAUAGGGAACCCUCUUACUGGGAGGCUGUCAGUUACCUAAGGAUGAAUACUUACUAGGUCUAUAAAAUGCCCCUUAUGACAGCACAUAAAAUGCUUGGCUUUAGAGAACAGCUUUAAGAUUGUUUGCUAUAUGCCAGUCGGCAUAAUAUAAAAUUCUGAGGUCUAAACCUAAACAUUACACUGUUUCAUUUGCACAUCUUAUAAUGAAAGAUAUUUUCAAGUUCUUCAGCUGCACAGUCACUUAAAGCAUGUACACUUAAUCAUGAAGGAACUAAUAGAAGGCAAAGUGGCAUAGCUUCAGCCGUGUAGGCCUUGCUAGUCUAUUAUAAAUAAAUGAGGUGGCCCUGGGGGAGCAGUACACACAAGGGGUUAAGUAUGGCUGUUCUCAGUAGAUCAAUAUUAGAAAAAUAUGCAGUAAGAACUUAGUAACCUUCCAGAGAAGUUGCUUUGAAAUAUUCAUACACAGUAAAGGUGCAAAUCCCCCUUUUUAGUUGAAGGGAACUUAGCAAAGAUGCACCUAAACAUGGAGAAAUAGAAAAACUCUUUCCCUCAAUUACAAAUAGUUAGCUCAGAGCAAAUAAUGAAAUCAUUUCAGAAAAUAACUGCAUGAUUAUUUAUUGACUUUGGCCACAUUGAUUUGCUAAAUCAUAUGGAUGCUAUUAAGGUUUGCUGUUUUAAGCAACUUCUCUCCCCCUGUGCCCUCUUUAAAUUGACAUGGCUAAAUCUCAACACAUUUUUGAAACCACAGUUCAAAAGCUUGUGUAUGGCUUUUUUUUUUUUUCAAAUUUGAAAAAAUAGAUAUAUAUUUAUAGAUGUAAUGUUCCCUUGUUACUUAAUCCUCUCCCCCACUAUUACUUUGGAGUAUUUCUGUUUGGUGUAACCCCAUCUCAGGAGUGAAGCUGUAAAUACGGUUAGUGUAUACUGCUUAUUCAAAGCUAACUUACUAAAGUGUGGACUGUGCAUUUUAAGUGGAAACAUUCCAUGUAUCCUGUAUUACAAUGUCAAAUUAUUAGUGGAUUUUCAAAGCAAACAGAAAUGUAAUUUAAAGCCAUCCCUCUCAACUGCACUUGAUUACAAAGAUCCCCUGGCUGCUUUAGUUAGAACUAUCCCAUGUUUUAUUACUGUGAGCAAUUGGUGUCAGAAAUGCUGAAUCAUGAAACUGAUAUUACAGGAAAUUUUAUGUAUACUUAAACUAAUCCAAUACAAUUUCAAAUAUGUUCCUUUGCUGUUUUUAUCUGAGCAAAGCCCUUACUUUGAAUGUGUAGUAAGCAUUUUUCAGUUCACACUGAAUCCUUGGCAGGUUGUGCAAUAGAUUUGAAUUGCAUAUUAAAAACAGAAGAAAAAAUCUGGCUGAAAUAGAGAUUUGAAAAUUUCACACUGUAUAUCAGUAUCUAAGUGGCACUAGAAAUGUACAGAAAAGGCCCAGAGGAGGCUAAUGGACUUGCUAUCAGUAAAGUACAAAAUCUAUUUUUCCUAUAUAUUGUUCCUCCAAAUUGGUUUCUAUCCCCUGGAUAAGUAACCUAAGGAUGCUUUAUGUCUGUUUUAAAACUUUAACAUUAGGCUUUGUUCAUUUCUUCAUUCAUUCCAGUAAGAGGUAAGGGAGUCCAUGUAUCUGAGGUGUAAGUGGAGCUCACCAACUUCCAUUAGAGUGUAACUCUUUGAAACCCUCAAACUAGUCAUGCAUAUGUGAUUCCAAUGAUUAUUUACCUAAAUUAAUACUUUUUUUUUAAACUCUUCUCUACAGUGAAGUUGUGGCAAGAACCAUAAAGGCUAAAUUAUGCAGCUGUGCUUCCCAUCAGCAAACUAGGGAGUAAGUACCUUAAGAAGCUGAAGCUUCAUCUCUAGCAGUACACUGUAUUCCGCCAGCCUCAUAUCACUGGUAAAAGGAACAUGGCACGCAGGUGUUUAAAUUAUUUACACUCAUAAUCGGCCUUUAUGUUACAUUGCAGAGCCAGGCCUCUGUUAUUCUAGUGCAUAAUUGAUGGUGCUCAGAAGUGGAAAAGUUAGAAAAGCGGAAGUAAUAUGAUGCGAAAGUGCAGUGAGGCAGCUCCAGCUGGCACAGCCUGUUGGGGCUGAGCGGUCUGAGGCAAGAACAGGUUCGCGUGUGCACACUCACCAAGGAGAAGACAUCAGAAGUAACAGGUCUUGACUUGGCAUGUUAUUGGGAUUUUUAUUCAAGGUUUGCAAGGGAAAGGAGUCAGCACUUAAGAUUUUUUCAGCCAAGUCAUGUGACUAACACGAACUAGAAAGUUGUAAGUUUGUCACAAAACACCUUCAUAGUGCUUUCAGAUGAUUCGCAAGUCAGUAAUCCCAGACAGGGCUAAUUUAAAGUGAAAUUUAGAAUGCUUUUGGAUGGAUUGAUGACCAGAGCACUUUAUGGCAAGCGGGGCUUAGUCCCCUACAACUUGGAAGUUUUUCUAACUUCAUGUUAUGCAGGAAUUUUUCUAUAACUAAAUCUGAAGAUUGAAAAUUUUAUGAGUAUAUUUUGUAACAUUUCUAUUGCUUUUGAUGAAAAUUAAUAUAAUGUAGAACACAUGAAAAUUAUCAACUGUUAACUGUUAAACCUUAAUGAAUUAUUAAAUUAAUUUUUUCCAUAAGGAAUGAAGUAGGCUUUUUCUUCUAAAAACAAUCAAUCAUUUUGAAUCUGGGCCUGCACACAUUGAAGUCAAGAAUAAAAUAGCCCUCUGCAUAUAAGUUUUUGCCUGUUUUUCUAAACAAAUAGGGAGCUGGUCAGUAUAGUACACAACAAUUAGGAUUUAGGUAGUUGAGAAGAGUAUCAGUAUUUACAUUAUUAUUUUCAGUCUCCGGUUCUAGUAUUGGAGCUGUUACAUCAACCACAUCAUCUGUUUUUAAAAAUGAAAAAAUGUCUAACCCACAUGCACUAGUUGAAAGUAAAAAUCAUUUAUAAUUGUCUAUGAAUAAUAGUAUUAAAUAGGACUUCUCAACUCCUGUGAAAACAAGUGUUGCAGUAUGUGUAAACACUGUGGAUGUUAUUGAACUGGAGAUAUGGUAAUAUAGUAUACAUGAUUGAAGUAAUGAAACGUCACAUGUUUAUUUUUUGUUUGUAACAGACUGAUCCACUUCUAAGAAUUGGAGCCUCCUGACACAAAUGCAGUGGUUUAAUGCAGUUUAACUAAUUAUAUAUUCUUAUACUAAAUAACACUCAGCAUUUGUAUGUUGUAAAUGACCACACACUAUUUAACUAAACCUCUGCUUAUAUUACCUUCAUACACAGAGGUAGUGCUAAUGCAGGCAUUUGUACGCUAAACGCUCCCUCUGUGACAAUUCUUCAGGUGAUAAAGUGGCUAAUAACUUUUAUUAUUAUUUCUGUGCAGAGAAAAUGAAUGUUUCAUCCCCAUUCAUUGGGAAGAAUAGUGCAGAGAUCCCAAAUCAAUUCAUCCCCCUUGCUUUAAUAACCCUGCCUCAUUAACAUUUCCUAUAUUAAUUCUGCCAAAGAAAACAAACAAACAAAUAGCAGGAAAAGAAAAGAAAAAAGAAAUAAAGGAAAUCAUACAAAGAUUAUUAUGACAAUAAAAAUGACAAAAAGGUAUGAAAUGAUAUUUCACAUAGAAAAGGCAACCUCGUAACGUUUAAUGAAGCAACACAAAUCCUUACAGCUUCUUUGAUGAUGGUGCUAUAAAAUAUCCUAAUAAGCUAUAAAGAAACUAUCCUAUGUCCUGUUGAAAAUAAUGACUGUUGCAAAGUCCUGUGCCACAACAUUAAGAAGGCAAAAACAGAGAAAAGUAAUUAGACACUGAAGGGAGAAAGAAAAGCUAUUCUAGGCUAGUCUUUUGUCCUAUGCUGCAAUAUCUACUGUACCUAAAGAAGUGCUUUUAGUAAACAUAUUUUUCAGCUGAAAUACAAUAUUGAAGCACUGGAUUAUUUUUAACUGUACAUUUUUUUUAAUGUUCUUGUGUAUCUGUUUCAUGUUGCCAUAUAACAAAUUAAGAAACUUAAACACAAAUUAUGUAUAUCUUUUUUGAUACAGAGAAAUGUUGCAAAUUUUAGUGGUUAGGCUUUGGCUAUCUUUUAGUAACAAUGUUUCAAGAAGUCAAGGAAUAAAAAGCUCAGAAGUUUGAACUGAGGGAUGUACUUCUCUAUGGUAUUGCACCUUUGCGAAUGUGUUGUGCAAAGUAGAGGGGUUUUGUUUUAGAAGAAGCAAAGUCAUUUCAGUGUUGUAGGUGACCAAAUGUUUCAGUUUUGAUGGUGUUUUAUACCCAAGCUGCACAGGUGUAAAUGCAAGGUGUAAGGCAAUGGAAAAUAGGUUUGGGGAUGUCAGACUUAGCUUUAAAACUUUUUUUAGGGAACUUUUACUGUGAAGGUAUUUUUGUCUGAUGUAUAUGACUCAAAUGCAUAUGAUACAAAUCGAGGAAAUAAGAUAUUGUGACAUAUAUAUAGACGAUAUUUAUCAUUUUCAAAUAAUGGAAGUAUGAGCAGUAUAUAGAACUGAGAACUUGAGGUUUCUGUUUCUCAUUCCUAUCCCUGAUUUUUGUAUAACGUUGGACAAAUUACUCUAUUUUUUUCUGACUAGGUUAAUCUCUUUGUCCAGUAACUAUAAAAGAAGCAAUGCCUACCUGGCCUACUGAGUGUCUACAAACUGCUUUGAGAUUCCUACAUGCAAGAAGUCAUAAACCUGUAAAUUAUUUGUAUGAAAUGUGAGCAUUGACUAACCGGUUUAAUAUUUUGUUGGCCAAAAUUAACAGCAUUUUGGGCCUGAUCAGGCAUCAGUUCUGUCAUAGACUUGCUGCAUGACUUAGUGUUUUGUGUUUCUGUUUCUUUUUUGUAAAGCAUGGUUAAUGCUACUUGUUCUAACUCACAAGAAUGCAAUCUUAAUUUUUGAUGUUGAAGAGCAAAAUAUUAAGUGUUGAUGAUUUAUGAUAUCUAUAUUCCAGAGUACUCAGUGUGGUUUUUCAUUCAUGUUUAAAAAGAUUAGUGUGAAGGGUAUCCAUAAAAUGGAAAUUAACAUUAAGCGUUCUACCUAAAUAUCCUUUUCAAAAUGUGUUGAUAAAGUAAACCAAAUUUCAUGAGAUGACAGAGGUGUCUCCUUUUUCUACAACAUAUUGAUUGUUUGAGGGGUUGCAUGUGAAAUUAAAGAGGGUUUCUUCCAGCUGCCUCUCAGUAGCUGGGAGAGAACUAGGUAUGUUGCUGCUAAUUAUGGCUCCCUUCUGUAAAUUUACUAAUUUAGUGGAUUGUAUUGGGAAAAACAGCGAUAAUUUUGUAAUUUGGUUGAAAUAACUUGGUGUUAAUUAACACUUAAUUACAGUGGGUUUUUGUAGAAUUGGAUCGUGUGUUGAUUAAAAAAAAUUAGGACAUGUGUAUGUGUAAAAAUUAAGAAGUUCAUCAUUUUUAUUCUCUCUCACAUGCACGCGUGCGCGCAGCAGAAUGAAAAGAAUUCCUUUUAGCAAAUAUUGCGAGGUUGACUGCUUUUGGAUCAACCCCCUUGCUUGUAAGAAGGGCCCGUGCUGGAGUUGGUAAGAAAGCAAGCUCAGGAGACAUUGGUAGGUGGCUAAUGAACAUUCUGUUUUUAAUGGAUGAUAGUCAAGUAUACAAGACCUUGUGGUGCUGUGCCUAGAUUAGCCUGUGACAGGAAGCCCAAACCACUCACCUAUCAUAACGAAUUAGAAGGCACUUUCACUGUAUUUCUAAGAUGGUUUCUCCACCUCCCGCUUGCCAUUUCAGCUGUUCCGAGUCACUCAAGCAUCAAAUCUUUCCGUGAUCACAGGGUUUGCACUCUGCACGCUAUCAGUACAGAGCAGCAGUACAGAGAAAGUGCACUGCUGGCAUGGAAAAAAAAAUUAACUCGACAUUGCCCAUCUCAAAUGUAUCCAGUUCAGAGAAGAGGAGAUGGUGGAUGAGAUGGUGAAAAAUGAGAUCCACACUAAUCUGAGUUGGGGAGACUGUGGCCAAAUCUGAAAAAUCCUUCCGAGGCCUCUAAUGGAAGCAAGAUCAGACAAUAUCAACCUCUGUCCUGAAAUCUGCAAUGUUGAUCCAAGCAAAUUGCUCGGUAGAAAGUGACCCAUGAAAUGGCGAGAAUAAAACAGAAAUAUGCAGUAAACAGGGAAGAAUGUGAAUGAACAGCAGAUGAUAUUACAGAGCAGUGCAGAAGGCAAAAAACUGUCAUUCAAUAUAGUCUUUCACAAAAUGUGAUAGUAAAAUAUGCCUUUAAAAUGGACGGAUAGCAGGCAGCUAAUAUUUUUGUGGGGCCAACAACCUCCUGAGCCCUGCUGUUGUUCUUGUUAAUUUUUCUCAUGUUUGGUAAGAUUUAGUUUGGUAAGUUUUGAAUGAAUUUCCUAACUUGCCAUGGGAAAACGUGGGAGAGGAGCAGCUCAGCCAAUUGAGGGUGGAGAGGCAUGGAACGAGCUGAUCAUGGAUAAAACAUUUUUUUCUGUGGAAAGAGUUGAAAAUUUGGGCUGGGUAUUAUUUUGUCUGAAUGACCGUACCAGACUCCGUUAGUACCCAAGAGAUUAGAGCCUCAGCAGUUUAAUAGGUUACCUACAGAGUUAACACACUAGCCACUUCAAAAUAUGAAGCUUUCUCCUUUUAAAAGCUGACUAUUUACGUAGAAAAAACCCAACACUUUUCUAAUCCAGAGGGGUAGCAGUGCAGCUCCACACCUGCGGCAGUGGUGGUGCCUGCUCUGCUGUUUGUGGUGGCACGAUCUGCUACAGCCACAGCUGUUUUUGCACCCUCCCCACAGAGGUGGCACCCAGGACUGCUAUGCUGGUCUGCCCUCUGUUACACUAGUGUUCCAUUGGAGACAAAUGCAUAAAGUUUGCAGUCUGGAAAACAGUGUGCCCACUGUCCUCUCCAAGCACAUAACUGACAGAUAUAGUCCAGAAUUUUUUGAGCAGGGAGUCCCAGGUUGUUAAAAGUUCCAGUGGGCCUGAGAGGUUUGGCCAGGGGUCUUUUUUUUUGUAUUGUUUUUUGCUUUUGGAUGACAACCUAAUUUGUGAAUUCAGUCUAUGAGUUCAUUUUUAGCAAGGUACACGACUUUGACUGUAAAGGAACAAGGGGCUUAGUGGCUAAAGUUGAGGGACAGAUUUUGCAUUUGAAGUUCACCGAAUUAUUCUCUCCCACCAGAGCGUUCCAAAAGCAGAAGUUUAGGGGCUCCUCAGUUUAAAAUAAGUGUGUCUUUACCUCUUUAAAACUUGGCAACAUACUCAGACUGUCUUUCUCUUAAACAAGGAGAGGGCAAGCUUACUUUUUUCUAUAGUGACAUUUUCUUUAAUUCUGUUUUGGACAAGUGGGUUGUGGAAAUAAUCAUAAAAGUCCCUCUGCUGGAAAUUAGAACAACUAUUUACAAGUGCCACCACACACAUUAUAGCUGGCUUUGGCAGCAACAACUCCUAAAUUUUUGAUCACUAUGACAGUUCUUGUUCUAUGACAAAAGGCUUUCUGCCUUGGAUUUAAAAACCACUUUUAUUUGAGCAGUAUAGUAUACGGUUAAGUAUACAUACAAAAACAGUCCCUCGACCAGAUCCCCAGAGUGUAAGAGGUGUAUAUCCAGGACUUCAUUUGUUCAAAAUUACAAUGAACCAAGUAUUAAUAAUGGCAUUGGAAGGACUCAUGAGAACAAGAGGAAGCACACCUAGUGCCAAUUGGUUUUGGGGAAGUUAAGAGAAUCUUGGCUUGCAUUGCAACCUGAAAAGAAGCACCAGUAGUGAAAGUUGAUUACUUGUUUGAUUGGGAUGUGGUGAUCUAAUCUGAGAGCACAGUUUAACACACCAACACGGGAAAUGUAUUUCAUUGACACGGGGGGAGCAGACAUAUCUCAGACACACAUUGGUUGGAAACUUCUAUUUGUGUUGUUCUUGAGUUUCUUCUGUCUGGACUUGAGAAGGGCCUCAAUGUUUUCACAAUAACAAGGUCCAAUGUACAACUGUUCAACCAUUGGAAAUCCGAUUGCAAGGAUGUCUUUCAACCUACCCUAUUUUAAUCUGUUACUUUAAAGCUGAACCUUCCUGAGGUUUUAAAAAAACAGGGCAAGAGAGCAGUCAUUUGUUUUUGGAGUCAUGUACAGCAGCUGUGUGGAGUUUUCAAUAUCUAUUUUAUUUUUAAAUAGCGCUACAGACUAGUAAAAAUACAUUGAGAGCAGUUAUUGUUGAUCAUUAUUUUAUUAUUUAUUGAGUGCUGAUGGUGAGUUACCUUCAGUACUGUACAUACUGGAGAGAAGAUAUAGAUCUGGCCCUCAAGACGUUUAUAACUUACAUAGAUAAAUAGAAUUAAACUGACCAAGAGUUGGGCUGAGUUGUUUUAUAAGAAUGUGCUGUACUGACAGUUAUUUUGGUACUCAAUUUAUGAAGAAAUCAGUCUUGUUCUUUGAAAAAAAAAAAAAAAGAUAUUAUUCCUUCUGCUUAAAAAUAGAACAUUCUGAAUUUUACCCCAAAUUUAGAUAUAGCUGCCUGUAACUGAAAGACAAAAUGAAGUAAUAGCUUAGUAUCAUGAAUUGCUUCAGUCAAUUUGUGGGUUCAUAACCCUUGCACCUCUUGAUAAUUUAAUGGUCAAGAUUUGUUUACCAAGCAGCAUGUCGACACAAAAUGUUUUUUCCGUAAUAUGAUCCUUAUAAACACAGCAUAUUCAUUGGGCGAUUAGAGGGUAGAUGGAUAUCACUGGCUUUUUUUUGGGUUUAUUUUUUAUAAAUAAUAAGAAUAAUUCUUUGUGGAAUGGACUGGGUAUGUUAGACUUCAUGAAAGAAUUGUAAGUUGAAAGGAAGAAUUAAAAGAGAGAAUAGGAUCAGAGCCCAUCAAACCUAGAAGAGAGUUUUAGAAAUACAGUGUGGAAAUAUUCCUUCCAAAAUAAUAUCUCUCUGCUGGUGAAUUUUUUUGUCUGCUGUUAUUUUUUACAAUAGUGAGAACCAAACAUUAAACAUUAAUAAUACAGUGACUAUGUUAAAUGCUUGAUGUGAAGAAGUUGCAGACCACAGGUUUAGUAUCAUACAUAUAACGGAUUAUGGUAUGGUGUAUAGUCCUUCUGGCCUGCUCUUCAUUUUUUAUUUAUUUUAUUUCUUUUGCUUUUUAGAAUCCUUUGGGACAGAUGGUAUGUCCUUACUUCUUGGAAAUCUCCUAUAAUAUUUUGAAUGCUAUUGUAACAGAAACAGUACCGAAAAAGGUUAGUGGGAAUAGCCUGUGAGAAGAAGGGGUGCAAGAGGGUCCUAGUUUUGCAGAAAAGCCAGUUAAAUUAAUUUUCAGUUGUAUAGAAAAGGAUGGCUGAAGAGAAAAUUAAUAUGUAGAAAAGUUAAUGUCUAAUCAGAAACCAAAACUAAAUUAGGAUGGAUUCUUGCUGGUGUAUAGGAGAAAUGUGUAUGUUAAGAGUACAUAGCUUUCUGUCCUCAGACUUUACUGAAUUAACCCAAUGUCUCUCCUUUUCAUAAUCAAAGCAAAAUAAAAUAAAAACAACUGGAGAGGUUUAGCAAAUAUUUGGAGCCUACAUUCAAGAUUAGUUACCCAUGUAUUUAAAGAGAUUAAGAAGAAUAUAAAUCAUUUUUCCUUAAUUUGAAUAUAUCAGAGAUUCACAGUUUAUCUCCAUUUUUCUUUGAAAGGACAGACCUUCGUAUCAAGUGAAAUAUUUUAUUAGGUGCUCUGCGGAAGUGUCUCCACUUGGUAAAAGGUAGGAGGAGCAGCCAGAUGAAGUGUUUGGGAAAAGAUUUCUGUCUCUACCUGCUGGAUGCAAAUGAUGCAAAAGCCUAUACACUCCUAACUAGUGGUAAAACAAAAAAGAAAUGUACAAUCAGAAGAGUGUAAAACCCUUAACAGACACAAAAAGAUGACUAUAGAAUCUGUUCAAACUGGGAUAAUAUGUUAACACAAAAGCUCCUUUAUUCUUUAAGAGCAUGCUUUCUGGUGAAUAUUGUUUUCAGAUUUUUGAUCACUACUUUUCACUCUCCCCAAAUUAAUUUUAUGAAUAAAACUACAGAUUUUAGCCAUUAAAAGAAAAGCUCUGGAAAACGAUUGCUGGAUAAAAAAACACUGAAAUAAAAUAUUUUCUGGCAAUCAAAGAAAAUGUGGUACUAUGAUGUAAUUCUAUUAGCUCAUUUCCUUAAACAAUUUUCUAAACUUGUUAUAUGAUUGCCAUAAUUGUGCCAGUUACUGAGUUUUGGGAUAGUACCGUUAUUAUGUAGGAACUAAUGUAAACUUAUCUUUUUCAGUUUAUAAAUUUGGGAAUGCAAAAUGACCUCAGUAUAGGAGGGUUGUGCUGAAGGCGAUAGGGGGAUUUAAACGACAUCAUUAACAGUUGCUUAAUUUUUGCUGCACCUCCAAUGCAGUUGAAAUGUUGGCCACUUGAAAAUCAGUUGGGUUCUAGCACUUGUUAGGUUGUGCUGGGAGAUGAUGCUUUAUGUGACUAGGUCUGGCGUGCAUUAAAUGACUGAAUUUACUGUGAGUCUUUUGGAGACGAGUCGAUUUAUACAGCACAGCAUAUAAGGUGUUGAAGGCAUGUGCCUAAAGGGAGGAGUGGCCCCUAGAGAGUGUUUGCUCUAAAGGAAAGGUUGCCAUGGUGAUGCCUGCAAGGCGAGAAAUGAGGUAAUAGUUUGUGAUGGUUACAGAGUGAAGUGAACAACUCUUGGAGAUGACUUUUCUUGAUACCUUGAGCACUGAAGAAUAUGUUUUGAUUUUUUUUUUCAUGUUUAAUCUGAUUAAUCGGUUACGAAUUUCUGUCUGCAAGAGAUACGUUUCACACGGUGUAUUUUCACUUUAUGGUCCACUUUGAUUAAUCGCCCAUGUCUUCCUCCGGAUGGGAAGCAAUGAAAGACUCCAGUUUCCCUCUUUGCUGUAUUUCAGGGAUUAAUGGGAAAUAGUGUCAUGCUCUGUCAAGGGACAAUUUUUCAUAUUAAGGUUUGCAAAGCAGAGACAGUGCCCUGUGCUGUGGCUCUUUACCAUAUUAAACAGGAAUGUCCUUCAAAGUCUUUGUCAAUGAUGGGUAUAAAUCAGAGAGAGAAAAACGGUACACACUGAAUUUAACAUUACUGCAUUUUUUAAUAUGUAAGUAGGCUUAACUUUUUUUCUGUCUUAAGCCCGUCAAGAUCAAACUGAAGCAGGCGUUCACAUCCACAAUUGAAACUUGCCAACCUUUUUCUUUAAGUUUACAUUGGUCCAAACUCUCCCCACUGCUUUUGUCAAUAGAUCUUUUAAAGGCAGGCAUUAGAGUUAAGUUUUCAUUAGUCUUUUUUCCACAGCUUCAGGCCCAAGGGCUUCUUUUAAUAGGCAUUAGUUAGGCCCCAGAAUUGAGUAGACAUUUGUGAAGGAGACUUGAAGUUUGGAACAAAAUUGUCCUUUAUAGUUUUUCCAUGGAGGAAAAAAAUCUUCUUAUGAGAAUAAAGGCUGUAGGCUAAUCUCUUGCCAUCUGGAAAAUGGAGAAGCCAGAGGUUGUUGGCACUGGGUCACAUCCCUUAUGUAAACUGUCAAAUUCUUUUCAUAUUAAUGGCAUAUCAAGUUAAACCCAUGAGGUUUGGUCUCUGCUGCAGCUAAUUUAUUGAUUUUUAUUUUGUUUGUGUCCUAUUUGCAUUUGAUAACUUUGACUGACUGUUUGAUAGAAAUUUGUUGCCUGUUCUUUGGAGCAGAAUUUUCCAGUCCCCCCUUCUCACCCUCCCCCUUCAGUAUACUAGCAGGUGAUGAUGCUGUUUUGUUAGAUUCCAUUAAGUAAAAUCCCUUUAAAUUGGAGAAAUUUCUCAAGUGACUUUUUAGCUAAUUAACUUAAAAGGAAGCUAGAGACAACUGUUCUGUGCAAUGAGAUGCCCUGUCACAUGCCACCAUAUUUAAUCCUGGUACUGCAAAUUACUGGAUAGGUGCCAGGAUCUAAUAUGGAGGUUAUCUGGGGAUAAAACUGAACAGAGCCUUAUGGAAAUCCAAAUAAAAUUAAGGUGGUGUUUCUUUCUUUGGAGGACUUGUACCUUGCUGAAAGCCAUGCUGGGUGAAGUGGAUUUACUGUCAUAUUGGAUGUCUCAUUCUUGCUGUCAUCACCAGGGAUCCUAGUCUUCUCCCGAUUUAAAAAAAAAAAAAAAAAAAAAAAAAAAAAAAAAAAUCUCUAAUUUUCGGAUUCAACAAAGUAACCCCAAAUCCACAUUUUUCUAUAAUUUAAAAUGAAACACCACUAACAAUAUAGAUACGUACAUAUAAUGGUGUUUCAUUUUAAUCACGGAAAAAUGUGGAUUUGGGGUUACUUUGUUCAGUCUGAAGAUUGGGGAUUUUUUUAAAUCUGAGAAAAUCAAGAUCCCAGGUCAUCACAUGUAUAUAAUAAUUGGCAGCUUAGCACUGCCAAUUAUGGCAGAAAACAAAGAGGUGGGGGGACCUCAAGCCAGAAGUAUGAAUGUUUAAAAUCAUUAAAUUUUUUGUGCUAGAAAUGUAGCCCUAUCUGAAAGUUGAGCCCAGUAGCUCUUAGACAUAUCGACAGCUUUAUUCAAACAGGAGUCACUGCCAACAGCUGCUGUUAUCAAGUUGUUGUGUAUUGAUUUUUUGUUUGUUUGUUUUCUGAAACAUUUUCAUGCCUUUCCCCUGUCCUGAAAUAAAAGAAAAACUGUGAACUUGGUUGUAGACCUUUGCAUAGUGAAAGGCUGAACAAUGUAAAGUAUGCCAAAAACCCCCUCUAAGGCUAGUUACUGCACCAGGCAGAUUUCAGUGUUGUAUACUAUGAAUCAUAGCCAGUGAACAGAUACAAUUUAUUUUACUCCCAAAUACUUCAUACCCAGUACAUUUUGCCAAAAUCUAAGACCCAACUGGGAGAGAUUUGUACGCGUGUUUCUUUUUACGCUUAUCUUAGCUGUCUUUUUAGAUUUGAUGAAGAGGCUAGGAAUAUAGUGAGCAGAAGGAAAAUGUAAAGUUUGGUAUUUUCAAAUUAUGAAAUUAUUUAAUGGUCAGAAAAUAUCAGUGCGCCUUCAGUGUCAUUGUCUACUUUCUUCCCCACUGUCAACCCCAUCAGUGUGUCUCAUAUAAACCAGAGCAGUAAAAUGAUGCCAGACAAUCCAAAGGGUAUGGCUCCUGUUUGUUUUAUCCAUUAUAUUUCUCUGCUCAUACUUAGAUUUCCCUUCUGUCUCCAGCGUUUGAAGUAGAGAGAUGGGAACAGACAAAAGAUUGAAGUCCCAGGGGAAGUUAGUUCAAUCUCAGUUUGUUCCCUCCGCUGGGACUAAAGCGCAGAAAUUUGCUCAGGAAGCUUUGGGAUGGCACAUGAGCAGUUAGGAAAGAGAGAGAAGUGACUUUAAAGGGAUGAUCAAAGACCUUACCAUCAGGUUACUCAGUGUGUACUUGAAAACAGAAGCUUUGUAGUCAGAAGUGGAUGGAGUAGAGUGGAGCAUUGCAGUGGUUAUUAUUUAUUUUUUAAGUAAUCAUUUCCAAUUGAUGAUGUUGGGAAUAUGUUUUCGGACAAGCUCACUCCCUGUGUUGUGCAGUAUUUUCUGCCAAAAUCCUGAGACAACUGUAGCAGUAAUAAAAGGAACUGUCCUGGUGGUGAAGAAAACUUCUUAUGCAAUAUUGGUAUAAUUUUGUCAAGCUGCAAUUCCCAAAAAAAUGCGGCAAGGGAGGGAAUUAAGUAUAAAUAUAGGAUGAUUUAUAACUGCAGGAUAGAAAAAAGCAGGAAUACAGAAACUGCUUUGCUUUUAUUUUCUUUUAGUUGCUCUAAAGAGAUCCUGCUCUAGUAUUAAAAUAAUAAUCAGUAAUCAGUGCUGUGUCAUAGCAUUGGAUAAUAGGGACUUAAAAUUAUUGCAUGAAAGCUUCUCAUAAACAUUUAUAAAAUAGUAGCAAAAUGUGCUUGCCUUCGUAGUUUCUAACAGAAGACAUUUUUGUGCAUGACUUGAGUACUGUUCUCUUUCUGCCUGUGCCUCUUGCAUGUAAAGUAACAAUCAGGUUAAUACUAGUAAUUCACCACUGCCUGUUUGGAAUUCAUCUUGCUAAACAAAACUGUGAUUGGAACGAUACUGUAGUUUAGGGGCUGUCAUCUGAUAAACCCAUUUUCUUUCCCUGGUUGAUAGGGACUUGAACUGGCCCUUCUUGUUUGAGAUUUAGUUGACUGAGUAUAUCAGAUGUCUCUACAUUAAGUAAGCAGAAGUUCUGAAUAAGGGCCAGCAGGGGGUGCCCUUGCCAGUUAAAGGCAGACAGGACAGAGAGUGCCAUGUCAGAGAGAGAAACUGAUGAAAUCUGUUUGAAUCUCUGAUCUUUGCCUUCUCCUUCCCCUUCCCCUCCACCCCCUCCCGCUUUAAGUUGAGUAGCUAGCACUAGAGCAAUUUCAGUCUCCCCCUGCCCACUCCAUUAAGAAGAUAAAGCUACACCCUUUCACGUCUGUGGUUGGGUUACAGUCAACAUAGACUGCAACCUGGGAAUUGUUCAUUCUUUAUAUCACCUCAUGCUUCAUGUCCCUCUAAAAUAUCUUUCACUGGGAAAGCUCUCUGUCAUAGCUUUUCCCACAGAGACUUUUUGGGCUAUGAGAGUAAAAGGAACAAUCAUUCUGAGCGAAUAGGAGCAAGUUUUCAGACAAAAGUGUUCCCAAAUUUUAUGCUUAUAUAGUUGCCAUGCUUAUGUUGUUCUUCAUUCCCUCUGGAAUAAGGAAAGCCUGUUUCACUGUGUGUCUUUUUGUCUGUACUGCUGCCAUGCAUGCUCUGUGUUUGAAAUUAAGGGUGGUGCUCUUAUAGUCUAAAGGCUGAAAUCUGGGUUAUUGGGCAACAUGGCAUUUUAUUUGUAUAGUAAAACAGUAACACAGCUACAUAUUUAUUUUUUAAUGAAUGAAGAUCUUUCACUAUGGUUCUGGAGAUGCGUAGCACAGUGUAGCAUCAUACAAAGUAUAACAACCUUUUAAAAAAAAAAGAAUCUAGAUGCCUUUUACUGUUUUUUAGGCCUGCAACACUGUAUCCAGACAGCGAACCAUCUGCACACUGAAAACUUCAUUGGUUGGAUGCUUGGAGGAGCUUGUAACCACAAUGUGAUGCUUUAUCAUCAAGUGUUUUGGCUUGAACGGCUGACCCUGUGGGGGCCCAUUCACUAUGCCCCAUGUUGCAUUAUGUGCAUCCCUGAUGCUGGAGUGCUUCCCACUCUAACUGAGGCACAACCAAAAGAACAGAAGCCACACAGCAGGUUGCAUAGCUUUGGGGAAGCUUUGUGCACAGGCCACUUUGCCUUUAACUGGGAAUGGUCCCCAGUAACAGCUGCUACCAAUUCUAGUAUUUGUCACUCAGUUUCACUUACAGACAAAUCUGGUCCAAGAUGAAAAUGUGUACAAAAUGUACACUUUGGUGAAGCAUUUGAAAUGGGUAAGCUGAAGUCUGUUAGUUACUCAUCAGGUUUUUUGGCAUGCUACAAAUACCAGUGUUUGUACAUUCCUUUACUUCCAGGCGUCAUUUUAUUUGAUUGAAUUGUUUCCCAUUAGGAAUAUGCUUGUAAACACCACCACCUCUGUAACAGGCUGCAGAUACAGACCUAACAUCUAUUGGUUCCUGUUUUGUUACAUAUUGUAUACACAUUUUCAUUUAAUUGUAAAGUCACCUGUAAAGCUCCCUGCUACAAAGAGCUUCAUUGUUCACAAAUUAAUGUCAUGAAUCUACUUGGACAUGAACCAGAAACUUGCUAUAAUUGCCCACAUGCAAGUAAAGCUUUCCCUGUGUAUUAAUUAGUUGAUACAAGGGGUUAAGAUGAUUACAUGGAAGGCAGUGCAGUUUCUCUCUUAAUAAGUCAGGCAGUGUAGGUGCCAAACUAGCCCUCCAUCCCAUUUGAGCAAGUGGUGUAUUUUGAUAAAGGCGCAAGUCAGACCACUAAGGCUUCCUAUGGCGGCAGCAAUGUGUAGAUUGUUUUGGUUUGCUAAUGCCGUUGAUGUGCAAUGUGGGAUAUUAAUCAAGACUAAUUACGCACACUGGCUAUGAAACAAACUCGAGGCCAGUGCAGGGCAUGCUUCUCUGUGUAAUUACUGACUUUAAGGUAUUGGGGUAAUUACUAGAAAUUAGAAGACCUACCAUUUGUAUCCAUUGCAUUUCAGAACAUCAGCACAGUGUGAUGGUUAUUUCUUUACAAUUUGGUUUGGUUAGUUACAAACGCAUGUCAGUCUAGUUUGGUAGGCAUCACUUAUAAUUACUAUUUUUUAUGUUCCAUUCAUCUUUAAAACUGCAUCUGAAAAACUCUGCCAAGGUAACAGCAAAGAAGUGUUCUGUGGAAACAGACUUCAAGUAACAAGGGGCAUGAUAUUUAUGUAGGAGGUUGAAUGUGACUUAUUUCUGUUAAAUAUUCUGAUAGGGUCCAGAAAUCUGUAUUGUGAAUCAGACUGAGAUUUCCCUAGCUGGUUCUUCCUUACAGUUUAAUUACUUUCUGUGUAUAAUAUGCAAUGGGCAUGUCUACAUGAGACCCUACGGCGCAGUGGUUACUGCGUAUUUAUUUAGUACUUGUAUAAACAAGUACUAAAUAAAUGUGCAGUAAUGGGGAUUACUGCGCAGUAGCACCGGCUACUGCGCAGUAGCAUCUAGACAGUUUUGGUCACGCAACACUACUGCAGUAGUAUCGGGCUACUGUAUCAGCAUCUCAUGUAGAUGUGCCCACUAUAAUGUAUGUGUAAUAGGAUUUUGUGUCAAGAGGAAACACUAGUAAGUAUAGAUAAUGAUUAGUUAAUUAUACGCAUGAACAUGUACACAUGCAUGUAUACAAGUGUAUGUAUGUGCACAUACAUACAAGCAUAUAUAUGUUUAUAGAUAGAUAUACAUAUAUAUAUAUGUGUGUGUGUAUAUAGGGUAAGAAUGCUCUUAUUUUGGAAAGCUGCUGGAAAUCAUCAGCUAAUACUUCGCUGCAGUGACCGAAAGGAAGCUGGAUUGAAGAAAGUACUGUAUUCCUCAGGGGAGAUGAUUGUAGAUACUUUUGAGUUUUUACUAUCUUGGUCCAUGGAGGAUGAAGUGAGAUUGACAGUCCUGUGGAUUCUGUAAUCAUUCAGGCUGGCAGCCACAAAAAUAUACUGAUAGAAGGGAAUUUAAAAAAUAUUCUUCCUGCUAUUAACAUUUAUGCAACUGUAAUUGCAAGCAGAGGAGAGAGGGAUGAGUUUGGGUUACAACAGAUAUUUCUAUUAAGGUUUCUCUUUUAUACUCUAGUGUAAAGUGAUUACUGGGUUACCAAAGAAAACAAGAAUCCCAGUUUUUGCUUUUGUAAUGUAUUUUGUAAUGAUUCAUGUGGCAAUGAGAGAAACACUCUUUAUCCUUUUGGUGUGUGCUCUAAUAAUAAUUGGUAGUAAUGGUAAUAGUUCCAAAUUCUUUUUACAGAAGUGUUUCAUUGCGUUUUACUCAGUGCCAUCUUUAACAAGCUAGAAACUGUUGCUACUGUCAAAAGCUUUUUUUUUUCUUUAGGUUUGAACUUCUCUGGCAUAAAUUGCUUGUAAAUGGAGUCUGAGCCAGUCCAUUCCCAUUGUCUGUGCAGAGCUAGACACAUGAAUGCCACAAAUUAAUCAAAUCUAAGGCAAGAAUAGAAAGCUCUCACCCACUUAUGUGUCUGUGAAAGCAGCUUUGAAUUGGAGGGAAAGAACCUAUCAAAUGUACAUGAAAAAUGGUGGGUUUAUGAAGGCCAGGGAAUUGUGCAGCUUGACUGGACCUGCAUGCCACCAUGUGGGAAGGAGGAGGGGGAAGGAUAGUGGGUGGGAAUACUACCAGCCUGUGAGGUUUUCUUCUAAAUGAUCUUCUUUCAUUGAUUGAUGCUACUUGGGUCAUAAAUGAGCUCCUUGCUGAGGCAAGGUUGAAGGUCAAAGUGUAGUGCCAGCUGCCUGGCCUGCCAUCAAACAAUGGUAGUAUCCUUCUGUACAAAAGAACGGAGCAUUCCAGCAUAAUGUUUUCUUAGUCUUUAGACUAACCCUUCCUUUUGCAAACCUCAGGAUUCUCUUGGACGGGAAUUAUACAGUGUCACUUAUAAUUAACCUUCUUUUCUUCCUAACAAUUUGCACGUAAGUGUUCCUUAAAAUCGUUGAUAAAUAUCUGCAUUUAAACACUCAAAUCUCUCCUCUCUUUUUCUCUAUUACCUUUCCCUUUGUAAAUUAAGAUGAUUUUGAAUGAUUCUGAUCUUAUAAUUUAGGAAAACAAAACAAAAAGAGUAUAGCUUUAAUUUCUUUUAGGCAACUUUAUAAUGAUAUUGUUGAACCAUCUUAAAGGCAAAAGUUUUGGCCUGCUCUAUUUUUCCCUCAAAACAGGUAGGUUAAGAUGGAUGUUUUCCAAUCUAGUCAUGUUUUCUAUACCAGGAACAUAGAUUCUCUGAAAUGCAAACUCUUUUGGACAGGGACUGUCUGCUUAGGCAUGUAUGGCCCAACACAUAGCAGGCAAGCACUACCACACCAUAAAUUGUGACUAAUGUCAUCAUAAUUAAAGGAAUGAUAAUGUAAAUCAAACUGAACUGAAUGGCAUCUAAACAUAAAUUGUUUGAAUUGGAUGUUAAAGGUCUGGUGUUCAACUGCCAUAAAACAGUAACUGGAAUUACAUGCCAUAUUUCCCAGCAUUUUGUUUAAACAUUUACCUUGAGCUGUUUAAAAUCCUGUGCAGCAGAAAAAUUGCUCUUUUUGACAAAUACCAGUUUUACUAUGGAAGUCCAGAAAGAUAUUAGCAAAGAAAAUAAAUGAUAGCAUGUCAUUUACAUAAAGAUUAUAAUGAAUACAAAAGCAUGAAGUAUGCAUACAUCUCUUGUUUUUCCUGAACACCUUCUGAACAUCCUGAUUAAACUGGAAAUUGUCCCUAAUGUCCUUUUUUUGUGGUUUUCUUAGCUGCAGAGAUUUUUUUUUUUAUUCUUUGUAUGAUUUGUAUCCCACAUUACAUUUAUUUUCCUCCAUUCCUCUGAUUCUCAGAUGGAAACCGCACAGAGCUUUCUGUGGGGUGGAGAAAAGAGCAUUGUAUCACACUUCCUGCACAGUGCCAAUUAGUUCCAGUACGGACUUUCUUUGUGGCUUUCGUUGGAACCACUAUCACACUGUUAUUGGUUCCUAAACCUGCUGGAGCAGCUACACUUUUUUCCAACCUCAAGCCAUGCCAAAGGUCACAUUACAGCUAACCCCAGAGAGUAAAAAACAAAGUAAAGAGUGUACAGUUUUUCAAAGAGAUGACCCUUCUCUGCUUGGCCUCUGGUAGGCUCUAAUAUAAUGAUAGAGCUUAACAGCUUGUAAAAAGCUCCAACUGCUUGAGGUUACCCAUGUUAAACAAAUGGCCGACUCAAAUUACUCUUUCUUCCUAUCAGAUUUAUAACUUGAUAUCUGAGAAGGGCUCUUUAGGAACUUGUGGAAGGUGAGCAAACAGAUAGGAGGAUCUGCAGGGACUCCGCCCAUUGUUACCUAUAGGCAUUAUUUAUAACUUUUGACUAGAUACUCUUUUGGAGCCUCAUCUGAAGAGUUUGGCAAUUUGGACAAAAAUGAUAAAGUAAUAUUGAUAUACUUAAUAUCUAUGUCAAAAUAGGAGCACAGUGCAAAAUGGCAUUACUUUCCUUAGAAUUUGCUGAGAUUUCUAGUCAGACUUAAUGAGAAUAAAAUAUGAAACGAGACUGAAAAGCAGUUCUUAGGCUGGAGAAAACAGCCUUCCUGAUGAUUAAAAAAGAUAAAAUUCAGCUCUUCAGACUCAGUCACCACUCAGCUUCUCAUUACAGUUGCAGCUUCUCCUCCCAAAUUGUAAUAAAGCAUGCAUAGAGAAAGAGACCUUUAACUUAUUUUCUCGCACCUUGUUUUCUUUCAAGUCCCUUGAUAUCUAUCUUGUUUUGGUUGCAGACUGGCUGAAUACUAAGGUUAUAUUUACUGCAAUUACUAGAUCAAGCUCAACUGCAACAGUCUUCAGGACCUGUUGACAGCUACGGUUUGCUUUGUAUUCACAUCCAAAACUUUUAUUACAUUUUCCAUGCAGCAAAACUCUUUUUGAGAAAACUCAGUACCCAGGAAAAGGUGUGAAGCUCUGCUACUUCUCCAAAAAUAUGAAAUGAUAUACUAGACAUUGUCAUAUGCCUAUCUAGUCAGGUGAUCUAGGGUCAAGUAGGAGACAAAUCUAGGAGACAGCUCCAUGUGUGUCAGUCUUAAGGACUUGUAGCAAGGUAUCUGACCAAUUACUGAGAACUUGGGAGAUAUGCCAAUUAGCAAAAACUUUUAUUGAUCAGAUAUAAGAAGCAACAAAUAUCUAUACUUUGCAAGGUAUCAAUGAAGAUAGACAUUGAUAAGUGGCAGUUCAUCUGUCUCAGGGCGGAAAUCCAUAUUCGUCAAUUGUGUGAAAUAGAGAAGCAUUGUCUCUAUUAUAAAAUUAGAGAAAAAUCUUCAUUUCCCAACUUUUUAUUCAUAUUUUAAAUAUUUCACUUAUCCAUUUGCCAAGGGCAGGGGGCAUCUAAGUUUGUUGCUUGUUUAUUUUUUUUAGUGGACCAUAUCACUGAAUACAAGAAGACUUUUUAGCAUGUAUAGCUUACAAAAAAACUAAAGCAUGACAUUUGAUUCUCUCACCUUCUCUUAAAGUUUUGCUCACAGUGGUGGGGGCAGAGUGGGGUACAUGGCCUAGAGGGCCACUCCCAUGAUGUGUGGUCUGUACAGCAUGCAUCCCAGGAGUUUCUGGGCCUCUACCACCCAGAGGUUGGACAGCCAUAAAUCAUUUUAGUAGCAGUUCUUAAUGCAGGGAGAUGAAAGAAAUGGCCGGUACCAAGUAGAGUUAAAAUACUUUAGGCAAUACUGAGUGUCGCAUUGCAUGUCAGAGUUGAGAUGAUUUUUGUAACAUGCAUUAAAUUAUGUGGAUUUUGUCCUUCUAACAGAGCCAUCAUUGAAAACUAAGGGUUGAAUCCUGAUUUGUAAUGGCACAGACCCUUUGGGCAUAGGUCUGUAUCAGUGUUUAUCCUACACAAAGAAUGAGUACCUAUGGACACUCCUGUGAUAAUUACUUAAUAAUGGUAAUAAAGGGGAAGAGUCUGCUUGCCCCACCUAGUGGCACAGUAAAGAACUUGAAGUGAAAAGUGUAGCAGGAAUAGAGUAGCUUUAAGCCACCCUCUGGCCUCUCAAUCCAGGGCUUCUGUGGGGCUUCUAGAGUAAUUUAGGCCGCCAGGAGUUAAGCCAUCUCAGUCCUCCACCAAAUCGGCUGUGGGUAGUAGCACUGUCUAAAAUACUGCUUUGUCUUUGACAUGUCCCUCCCUCUCCAAACUGUAUUUCCUAUAUAUUCACCACAUCAGAACUUGGGAGGGGUCUUCAGAGGCUAGCUCUGCAGCUGUCUACAGCACAUGAAAACACAUGGAAAGCACUGUGUUCAAAUUUGCAGAUGACACCAAACUAUGGGCAAAGCAAACACACUGCUGAUGGGAAGAAACCGAAUACAGGAGGACCUGGACAGGUUAGAGAAGUGAGCGGAGAACAAUAGGAUACAGUUCAACAAGGACAAGUGCAAGGUGUUGCACCUAGGGAGAGGGAAUCAUCAGCACACCUAUAGGCUGGGGGAUGACCUUCUCAGCAGUAGAAAGAGAUCUCAGAGUUGUUGUUGACUCCAAGAUGAAUAUGAGUCGGCAGUGUGGUGAAGUAAUUAGUCAACUGCACUUCGUCAUGCAUUAGUAGGUGCAUCAUGAACAGGUUCAGGGAGGUGAUGCUCCCGCUCUAUGCGGCACUGGUCAGGCUGCAGCUGGAGUACUGCAUUCAGUUCUGGCAUCGCACUUUAAGAGGGAUGUGGAUAACCUUGAGAGGGUCCAGAGGAGGGCCACUCAUAUGGUUAGAGGCCUGCAGGGAAGGCCUUAUGAGGAAAGGCUGAGGGACUUGGACCUUUUCAGCCUCCGCAAGAGAAGGCUAAGGGGGGGAUCUUGUGGCAGUAUACAAACUCACCCGGGGAGGGGGAGCAGGGAAUAGGAGAUGCUCUGUUUACCAGAGCACCCUUUGGAAUAACCAGAAACAACAGCCACAAGCUGAUAGAGAGUAGAUUUAGGUUGGACAUCAGAAAGAACUUCUUCACAGUAGGGUGGCCAAAAUCUGGAAUGGGCUUCCAAGGCAGGUGGUACUCUCCUCUAUCUUGGGGGUCUUCAAGAAGAGACUGGAUGAGCAUCUGGCUGGGGUCACAUGACCCCAGCACUUUUCCUGCCAUGAGCAGGGGCUCAGACUUGAUGAUCCAUUUGAAGUUCCUUCUGACCCUAGCAUCUAUGAGCUUGAGGGAGUCCUCCACCAAACAGGCACAUAACUUAUCAGAGUGGCAAAAAAAAGCCUGAUCCCUUUGCAUGUAUAAAGAGGCUGCGUAACAUGAAGAGCUGUCCAAAAGUUUUGAAGGAUAUCCUUGGUGGAGCUGAAAUGAUGUAGUUGAUCUCCUGUGAAUGUUGCAGUAGGUAGCAGUAUGAUCACAACAAAUAUGAAAAUAAUUAGGAUGAAAUUCAGUCAAUAGUGUUUAAAAAAGAAGUUGUGUUUAAAAAAAAAAAAAAAGUGAAACGAGUUAAAUUUUCAUAGUUUCAUAGUUGGUAGGGUAGUAAGGGACUUGAGCAGAUCAUCAAGUCCGACCCCCUGCCAUGACAGGAAAAAGUACUGGGGUCAAAUGACCCCAGCAAGGUGUUUGUCUAACCUCCUCUUAAAGACCCCCAGGGUAGGAGCCAGCACCACUUUGAUUGGAAGUUGGUUCCAGAUCCUAGCCGCCCUGACUGUGAAGUAGCUCCUCCUGAUGUCUAGUCUGAAUCUACCUUCUGCCAGCUUGUGACCGUUAUUUCUAGUUACUCCUGGUAGUGCUUGGGGGAACAGGGACUCCCCCAAUGCCUGCUGGUCCCCUCUGACUAGUUUGUAACAGGCCACUAGAUCCCCCCUCAGCCUUCUCUUGUGGAGGCUGAACAGGUUCAGGUCCCUUAAGCCUCUCAUUGUAGGGCCUGCCCUGCUGCUCCCUGAUCAUGUGGGUGGACCUCCUCUGGACCCUCUCCAUGUUGUCCACAUCCCUCCUGAAGUGUGGUGCCCAGAACUGGAGACAGUACUCCAACUGCAGCCUGACCAGUGCCGCAUAGAGGGGGAGGAUCACCUCCUGGGACCUGCUCGAGUUGUAUCUGUGGAUGCAUGACAAGCUGUGGUUGGCCUUCCUGACCGCAUCCCCAUACUGUCGGCCCAUGUUCAUUUUGGCAUCAGUAAUGAUUCCAAGAUCCUUUUCUGCCUCUGCACUGACAAGAAGGGAGUUCCCCAGCCUAUAGGUAUUUGUUAGCAUCAAUGGCACGAUCUCUCCCCCCUGGUUACAGCAUGACGAAAGCUUUCCUAACUGUUAUUCUUAGCUAGAGAUUAUAACAAUAUUAUAUCAAUACCAUAAAAACUAGUGCUUCUUCACUAUUUGCAAUGGUCAAGGGUGAAAUACCUUACCGUUGACCAUUGCAAAUACAUUAUUUUCCAACUCUUGGCUCUUGGCAGUUCCUUGCAUUCAGCUGUUAAUUAUGUUGUUAUAAUUGACACAGUACUUAACAGGCAAAAUAAGGUGACUGACCUUUAAGAUAAUAAUGAAAAUGCAUUUAAACUGUUGCUGUUGAAAAUCACUUGAAAGCAGAAGUCAAAGUAAUUUUGCAACUUGCAAUUUUACUUACAGGACAAGGACGCAGUACGGUGGGGAAAGGAGGGACAAAUAAAGAAUAAAUCACAAUAAAAAGAGCUAGAAAGCUAACAGAAAACAAACUUUAGCUCCAGAGACCACACAGAUUUGUUUUCUGGAUGUUCUACCAGAUGAUGUAGGAGGAUAGCUGUCUUUAAGGUUUUGAAGGUCUUAUCGGAGCAAGGUAAUGGAAUUGACUGUCUGAUUGACAAUCUGCUUUGAGAAUUCCAGUCAGCUAUGAACUAGUAUGUUGACUAAUAAGUCAGUGGCUUGCUAAGCCUUGUCAUUACCUAAUAUGUUUUUGUUUAAACAACUUGAGGCCUUGCAGGAGAUUUCUGUUUACAUUGUUGUCUCUUGUCAGUUUUAUUCUCUUUCCUGUUUUAGGGCUCAGUGUGGUUGCGAAUCUGACUGUGGGAAGGUUCUCUAGAAAAGUUUUGUAUGCUUACCAUACAGCCCUUUACUUGUGUUACUGAAUCACAGUAGCCUGAUUCUUUCACUCCAUAUAAGUUAAUCAUCAAUCUAGAAAUUGGAUGCAACAGUAAGGUCAGUGUUGGGACACUGAGAUUUUAUAGAUUAUCUCAGCAAUGAGAUUGCUCAAUUCAGUGUUGUUAAAACGAACUACUUUAAUAACUUCCUACUUUGUAUAAAAAAAAAAAUCAAAGACUGAAAAGAACGUUUUUUGUUGUUUGGAUUUAAAAUUUACAUUAGAAUUGUUACAAUUCAUAAUCUAGCAUACUAGUGAUAUCUUUUCUUAGACUAUAAAAUAGUUUGGACUAAAAUGGUUUUUCAGAAUGCCCUUAAUUUUAUGGGUAAAAUUUUGCACCCAUAAAUAGCUGUGAUUUGUGUUGUGGUGUAAAUGAUAGUACUUUAACAUCCAAAUACUUGUUUGCAUGUAUAAGUCUGAUGACUUUAGUACUACAAAAUUUGCCAGUAGUCCAUUACAGGUAUAACAUUAUACAGGCAGUUAUUUAUGUUUGCAAAAUUUAAGGCCUGGUUGAGUCCCAGUUGGAGUCUCAGGGUUAUUAUGUUCAAGAGAGCACGAACAUUGAUCACUUCUGCUCUUGGUUUAUCUCCUCACUGAUUUUUUUUAUUCCUUGUCUGUUGCUUAGGAAUGCAUUCUCCUACCUAUGCCUACCAAAAAACUAAAACAGUUUCUCUCUUUCCUCUCCCACCCCUCUUUUAAGACUUACUAUUGCAGAUAUAUGCUUGGUUUAUUCUGCUAUUGAAGAGCAAGGUAGCCAGCAGAAGGAGCUAAAGCUUAAAGGGAUUCUAUCAUAUUAAGAAUUUCAACAGUUGAUAUGCAGGAUAUAUGGGAUGUUGAAAGUCCUCAAAACAAAUCCUGUAGUCAAUUAAUGUAUUGUCAUAAUGUUGAAGCAACAUGAGGAUGAAGAUGUGCACAGAUCCUAGCAAGCAGUUGCAUCCCAAAAAUAAAAUUUAACUCUCUAUUUACAUGAAGAUAUGAACUGAAACAUUACUUGAAACAAAUGUGUUCAAAGCAGUAUAAAUAAUGCAGAUAUUUUACAUCAUCUGAACUUUAUUAAUUUUUUUCCAGAUACAACUCGUUAAAUAAAGCACUGCAUAUGCAUUCCAAGGCAUACUUUUUUGAAAACAAUUCUUUAGGGUUUGGGGGGAAGAUGAGAAUGAGAGAGAAAUAUUCAUGCAAAGUCUGAGAACUUGACUGGGAGUUACAUGUUCCAUUUAUUUCAACCUGCACAGAACAACUUGAAAGAAAGGGGCCCUAAUUACCCAUCUGUAAAAUGGGUUAAAUAAAGUUUAUGAACCUUGCAGCAAUGUCCUGAAGACUAAUUGUUUAAUGACAAUGAAAUACUUCCAAGAUGGAAAGUUUUUUGUUUUUUUAUCCACGCUGCUAUUGCUAAGAAUAACAAUAGUUGUUGCUGUUGCUGCUAGUACUGCUACUGCUGUUGUAUUUGUCGUCUUCCAAUUUUAAAAUUUGUGUGUGAAAUUUUUCUCUCAAAUUCAUAUACACUACCAUCUUUAGCUAUUAUGUACUUGAGUUCUUAAUUAUUCAUAUUUACAGUCACUUUUAGAAUUCCACAUGUUGACCCAACUUGCAAAUGCUUAAACAUGAACAUAACUUCACUUACCUGGGUAAUCUCACUGAAAAAAUGCCAAUUCGGGCAACUGACACGAGCAAAGUUGCAUAUGUGCUAAUAAUUAACAGGAUCAAGGCAUUUAUUGAUGCAUUGCAAGCAGCAGCCUGUGAAACAUACAGGAGUUGGAGCAGCCUUGCCUAACUCAUUUGAUGUGAGUGCUGCUAACCAUGGAAAUGGUUUUUAAUCAUGGUUGAAUUGGGUUGGAUGCAAGUAGGCAAAAGCCUGCAGAUAAAAUUGCCUGUAGCUUGUUAGCAGUGCCCUGAGGUAUCCAGCCACCCAGUAAGGGCUAAUGUUAAACCUUUGAAAAUGAGAUCUGCUUUCUUGACAGAUAGAUUUAUUAAAUUAAGUUCUGACCUUUUUAGAGCCUAGAAAGGUAAGAUCUUCAAUUGGAUAAAAAAAAAAAAUCUCCUCUAGUCUUCUGUCAGAGUCUUGCAAACACAUUCUCCAAUCUAGUUCCUCAUCCUUUUUUUUUCUUUAAAAGGGACACCUACCAUUAAUCAAUAUAAUGAUGAAACAAAUACUAAUGUCAAAAUCCAUUUCUAAAUUCAGUAUGUCAUAGUGUAAAAGUGUUCAAUCAAUAUUAUCUCCCAUGGCCUUCCAUUCCCCAACAGGCUUUUACUUGCACUGCAAAAACAACGGCUAGAAGUAGUUUGACUUCUACCUGGGCCAGUCCCUAGAAGGGGACAUAAGUUUGGUGGCAUGUUAUAUGAUUGUUUUUUAAAAAAGCAGUAGUAAUAUUGAUUGUCAGUAUUUAUGGAUUCAGAAUUGAUUGUGGGAGUAGUGUGUGAUGUGGUUAGAGCAGUAGUUAGAUAAGGCUACUUGAACUAGUAGAGGAAUUUUCAACCUUUUUGGAUCAGUGUACCUCU